rnacentral:rRNA from 1 species
GCCCUUAGAGUUUGAUCCUGGCUCAGAAUGAACGCUGGCGGCGUGCCUAACACAUGCAAGUCGAGCGAGAAAGCCCCUUCGGGGGUGAGUAAAGCGGCGGACGGGUGAGUAACGCGUGGAUGACCUAUCCUUGGAUCUGGGAUAACCCUGCGAAAGCGGGGCUAAUACCGGAUAGUCCCGAUGUUUUAGAUUUCAUUGGGUAAAGAUGGCCUCUGGAUUCAAGCUAUCGUCCAGGGCUGGGUCCGCGUCCCAUUAGCUUGUUGGUGGGGUAAUGGCUUACCAAGGCGACGAUGGGUAGCUGGUCUGAGAGGAUGGUCAGCCACACUGGGACUGGAACACGGCCCAGACUCCUACGGGAGGCAGCAGUGGGGAAUAUUGGGCAAUGGGCGAGAGCCUGACCCAGCGACGCCGCGUGGGGGAAGAAGGUCCUCGGAUCGUAAACCUCUGUCAGGAGGGAAGAAGUUAUAUGCACUUAACAGGUGCAUAUAUUGACGGUACCUCCAAAGGAAGCACCGGCCAACUCCGUGCCAGCAGCCGCGGUAAUACGGAGGGUGCAAGCGUUAUUCGGAAUUACUGGGCGUAAAGCGCGCGUAGGCGGCCAUGCAAGUCAGGUGUGAAAGCCCUCGGCUUAACCGGGGAACUGCACUUGAAACUGUGUGGCUAGAGUUCGGGAGAGGGUGGCGGAAUUCCAGGUGUAGGAGUGAAAUCCGUAGAUAUCUGGAGGAACACCAGAGGCGAAGGCGGCCACCUGGACCGAAACUGACGCUGAGGCGCGAAAGCGUGGGUAGCAAACAGGAUUAGAUACCCUGGUAGUCCACGCUGUAAACGAUGGAUGCUA